UGAAGCGAUUCACACGUAGAAACUUUACCGAUUUUUACAUAUUGAACAGUGAAUUCCAUAUCUUAUAUAUUAUUAAAAAUCUUAUAAUUGAAACAGAAUUUUAUGCAGAAAUAGAAUGCACGAUAUUUUAUAAUUUAAACAAAGUUUCACACGAAUAAAUUUCUAAAGAGAUUUGCGCAAAAUGGCAAUGUUGACUGACUGCAUUUUCUUGGACACGCUUUUAAUAUUUUUCUCACUUUUUGCAACGCUUUUCCUAUGGUUAAAGUGGAAACACUCUUAUUGGCAAAGACGUGGCGUACGCACGUUACCCGCACAUUGGUUUUUCGGUCACUUCAAGGAUGCAAUGCUUAUGCGCAAACCAGCGGGAGUGGUCUUCGGCGAGCUGCAUCGGCAAGCUGCGGAUGAAGAUGACGUAAUCGGAAUUUACAUCUUACACGAACCAUUCCUACUUGUGAGGAAUCCAGAACUGAUCAAACAAAUCAUGAUUAGGGACUUUCAUGUAUUCCCAAAUCAUCAUUUCGACGGUAGAAGCAAAUCCGAUACUCUUGGCAAUUGGAGCCUCUUUACUAUCAAGAAUCCUGAAUGGAAGCAAUUGCGGACAAAAAUGUCGCCAGUGUUUACGAGUGGCAAGUUAAAGAGUCUCUUCUUGCUUAUGCAAGAAUCCGGAGAGAUGAUGAGAGAAUAUCUGCAAGGUCAGUUCGUCGACUCCAAUAUCGCAUCGAUACCUAUCAAGGACAUAUUCUACAAGUAUACCACUAUUGUGAUAGCUUCCAUGGCAUUUGGAAUUCGAGCAAAUUGUUUCGACACACCGCCACCAGAAUUUUUCAUAAACUCACGUAAAGCAUUUCAACCGACUCUUUCGAGAACCUUGCGAUUCUUUUUUAUGUUCUUCUUACCGAAAAUUGGAAAAUAUCUGGGUCUUAAAAUGCUGGGUGACUACACGGAUUACUUCCGCAAAGUGUUUUGGGACUCUAUGGACAAUAGAAGCAUCACGAAGACGAAACGGGGAGAUCUGAUCGAUUCUCUUUUGCAAUUGAAAAAUGAAAAUGCAGAUGAUACUCAUUUCCGAUUCGAAGGGGAUAUCCUUCUUGCUCAAGCGGCAAUCUUCUUUGUGGCCGGUCGUGAGACUAGUAUUACCACUAUGACCUAUGCUCUCUGCGAGUUGGCCAAAUAUUCGGAAAUGCAGAGACGCGCGAGAGAGGAGAUCCUCGAGAAGAUUCAGACCGCGAACGGCGUCACAUAUGAAGCGGUUAAUAACAUGAAAUAUCUACAUCAAGUGAUAAACGAAACGUUAAGACUCUAUCCAUCUGCGCCAAUUCUGGAUAGGACUCCCAUAGAAGAUUAUACGUUACCUAAUACAAACAUAACUAUUGAGAAAGGGACACCGAUAUAUGUCGCAUUAUACGGAAUUCAGAGAGACCUCAGAUUCUAUGAGGAUCCUAAGCGUUUCGAUCCUGAACGAUUCAGCGACGAGAGAAAAAACGAGAUUGUACCUUGCACCUUUCUACCUUUCGGCGAGGGCCCGCGAAAUUGUAUAGGUUGGUGCAUCAUAGACUACAGAUGGAUUUAAAAUGUGUUUGGAAUAUAGAAUUUACUGGAGUGAAUCUUCUUCGACAUUUAUCAGGCGAUCUAUUCGUUCAUUUAUUAUUUCUACAAAACACAAAUGUAUGCGACUGGGAAUUUUGCAAACCGCCGUGGGAUUGAUAGCGAUUCUACGUGAUUACGAGGUUUCGUUGAAUCCUUCGUGGAUGUCCAUAGUGGAUACGCGAAAUGUGUUCACUACGCCGCCCGC
rnacentral:misc_RNA from 1 species